UACGAAGGGGGCUAGCGUUGUCCGGAUUUACUGGGUGUAAAGGGCGUGUAGCCGGGCUGACAAGUCAGAUGUGAAAUCCGGGGGCUCAACCCCCGAACUGCAUUUGAAACUGUUGGUCUUGAGUAUCGGAGAGGCAGGCGGAAUUCCUAGUGUAGCGGCGAAAUGCGUAGAUAUUAGGAGGAACACCAGUGGCGAAGGCGGCCUGCUGGACGACAACUGACGGUGAGGCGCGAAAGCGUGGGGAGCAAACAGG
rnacentral:rRNA from 1 species